rnacentral:rRNA from 1 species
AGCGAACGCUGGCGGCAGGCUUAACACAUGCAAGUCGAGCGGACCUUUCGGGGUCAGCGGCGGACGGGUGAGUAACGCGUGGGAACGUGCCUUCCGGUUCGGAAUAACCCUGGGAAACUAGGGCUAAUACCGGAUACGCCCUUCUGGGGAAAGGUUUACUGCCGGAAGAUCGGCCCGCGUCUGAUUAGCUUGUUGGUGGGGUAACGGCCUACCAAGGCGACGAUCAGUAGCUGGUCUGAGAGGAUGAGCAGCCACACUGGGACUGAGACACGGCCCAGACUACUACGGGAGGGAGGAGUGGGGAAUAUUGGAAAAUGGGCGCAAGCAUGAUCCAGCCAGGCCGCGUGAGUGAUGAAGGCCUUAGGGUUGUAAAGCUCUUUUAUCCGGGACGAUAAUGACGGUACCGGAGGAAUAAGCCCCGGCUAACUUCGUG